AACGAACGCUGGCGGCAGGCUUAACACAUGCAAGUCGAACGGGCGCAGCAAUGCGUCAGUGGCAGACGGGUGAGUAACGCGUGGGAACGUGCCUUUCGGUUCGGAAUAACUCAGGGAAACUUGAGCUAAUACCGGAUACGCCCUUCGGGGGAAAGAUUUAUUGCCGAAAGAUCGGCCCGCGUCCGAUUAGCUAGUUGGUGAGGUAAAGGCUCACCAAGGCGACGAUCGGUAGCUGGUCUGAGAGGAUGAUCAGCCACACUGGGACUGAGACACGGCCCCGACUCCUACGGGAGGCAGCAGUGGGGAAUAUUGGACAAUGGGCGCAAGCUUGAUCCAGCCAUGCCGCGUGAGUGAUGAAGGCCCUAGGGUUGUAAAGCUCUUUCGCCAGGGACGAUAAUGACGGUACCUGGACAAGAAGCCCCGGCUAACUUCGUGCCAGCCGCCGCCGUAA
rnacentral:rRNA from 1 species